rnacentral:rRNA from 1 species
AGUGAACGCUGGCGGCAGGCCUAACACAUGCAAGUCGAGCGGCAGCGCGUCCGACCACCCUCGGGUGGUCGGAUGGCGGCGAGCGGCGGACGGGUGAGGAAUGCAUCGGGAUCUGCCUCGUUGUGGGGGAUAACGUAGGGAAACUUACGCUAAUACCGCAUACGACCUACGGGUGAAAGUGGGGGACCUUCGGGCCUCACGCGAUGAGAUGAGCCGAUGCCGGAUUAGCUAGUUGGCGGGGUAAAGGCCCACCAAGGCGACGAUCCGUAGCUGGUCUGAGAGGAUGAUCAGCCACACUGGAACUGAGACACGGUCCAGACUCCUACGGGAGGCAGCAGUGGGGAAUAUUGGACAAUGGGGGCAACCCUGAUCCAGCCAUGCCGCGUGUGUGAAGAAGGCC